CUAUGUGCAUGUCUGUGCAACCUGUUCCAGCACCUGGGCCAGCCAGUAUAUUGGCAACCCACAUCUCCAGCGUCCUUUCAUUGUUAUGUGCUCUAGUCCCCAGUGGCUCCUUUCAGCAGCAGGGGUUCCUCAGGCCAGCUGUGAAAAUCUGCCACAGCUCCUGACUUGUGUCACUCAGCCCCACCUGUGAACCUGGGAGCAGGAAGUUUUCUCCUCCAUUCCCAAAGAAAGAAAGAGAGUUCAUUGGGCUGCUGUGAGUGAUUUAUGCAGGGAAACGCAGCGAGUGGGAUUACUCCUGUACCCAAAGUUUUGCUUGCCCUGGCAGGCAAAAGCUCAAAGCACAGGUGCAGCCUGAAAGUUGGUAAUUCUCUGGAGAUGGAAGUUAAUUUUUAGCUCUAAGGAAUGGAUCAGGAUGUCCUGCAAAUAUCCUAGGUCUUUCUGGGACAUUUCAUCUACCAGACUGCAAUUGUAUUUACCAUUCUUUUCCACACCAAAACCAGGCACACUGGCAGGAGCUUUCUAGUUCUGUUUCAGACAGAGGACAAGUCAAGAGUCCUCUCAUUCAGCCAACUAACAGAGACCGUGAUGCAAGUACCCUAACUGGGGAGUCUCACUCAGCAGGGAAAUGCAGUGAAUGCGACUGCUGCUGUGCCCAAAGAUAUACUUGCCCUGGCAAAACUCAAAGAGCAGGUGGAGUAUGAAAACAGAUACCUUUUCAUAACUUGGGGCUGGGUUGCAUUGUCUGAUGUGCCACCCUCACCUGCAUGGCUCACCUUCCCUGCCCUCUGGCACAUCACAGCCAUACUUGGAAACCUGCUUCAUCACCUUGACUCCCUGAUAGGUGGGAAUGCCCUGUAAAUGAACACAGCUGAGCUGUGGGAUAGCAUAAAAGCCUCUCCACUGGAGCUGAGGGGUUUGGAGCGGUCAGGAAGAAGUUAAACUAUCCCACUGGGGAGGGGAGCCUGCACUUACAGGGGUUCCCUCCCCCCCUCCUUCGUGUCUUCCUCUGCAUGCUGUUGGGCCUGUUUGGCCUCCACUCUGCCCAUAACUCAAUGCAGAAACUGAGCAAAAGAAGUCAGCAACCAGUCUCUUACAGUGAGGAAGGUGUAGAUUGGCAAGCUGAAUCCCUCUUGACCCUGAAAAUGCCACAAAGUUGGCAGAAUUAAGAAAUAAUCGUAAUAAUGAUAAAGAAGAAGCAAAAGAAAUUCAGAAUAAGGGAAUGAAGCAUCAAUUUGGAUGAACACCCAACAAGCACCCAUUGAACUCAUACGUGUCCUUGGCAGCAGGCAGCACCGGCCUGACCUGGCAGGUCUGCAUCACUCCUCUACCUCCUGCCAUGGGAGCAGGGCAGGGGAGCUGUGGAGCUGCCCACGCUGUGGGGCUGCUGGAGCCAGAGGUCAGGAAG